rnacentral:sRNA from 1 species
UUAACUUCGUUUCUGCUUUCAACAUGGCUAAGACCAGUCUUUGUUCAACAUCUCUAUCUUUUCUUGUUCUUCUAAUCAUUUUUCUUUCUUUCUCUGCAGUGCUUGUUCCAGUAACUACUGCAGAUCUGAAAAUGAGAAAACUUGGUGACAUGGCAAGUCCACCUCCUUCACCAAAGCUUGGCAAUCCACAAAUGCCUGGUAGUCAACCUUCUACUCCUCCAUUCAUGUUGCUUAAUCCCUG